GAUCAUGGCUCAGGACGAACGCUGGCGGCGUGCUUAACACAUGCAAGUCGAACGGUGACCCAGGGCUUGCCCUGGUGAUCAGUGGCGAACGGGUGAGUAACACGUGGGCAACCUGCCCCUGACUUCGGGAUAACUCCUCGAAAGAGGAGCUAAUACCGGAUACGACCACUUCGGACAUCCGAUGGUGGUGGAAAGUUCUUCGGUCAGGGGAUGGGCCCGCGGCCUAUCAGCUAGUUGGUGGGGUAAUGGCCUACCAAGGCGACGACGGGUAGCCGGCCUGAGAGGGCGACCGGCCACACUGGGACUGAGACACGGCCCAGACUCCUACGGGAGGCAGCAGUGGGGAAUAUUGCGCAAUGGGCGAAAGCCUGACGCAGCGACGCCGCGUGAGGGAUGAAGGCCUUCGGGUUGUAAACCUCUUUCAGCAGGGACGAAGCGAAAGUGACGGUACCUGCAGAAGAAGCACCGGCUAACUACGUG
rnacentral:rRNA from 1 species